CAAUGAUUAAUUAGCACAUUUUUAAUUAACUUUAAGAUUUUAUUACAAAAAUCAUUACACUUAAUUGUGUAUAUAACCUUAAGAGAGUGAAACUUGAAAAAACAAAAUCAAGACAUAAAACUAAUUAAUUAAAUUGUACAGUAAAUAUGUUUGCAUCAUGAGAAGAAAUGUGAAUAUCUGAAGAUUUGUUGGUUUUGUUCAAUUACAUAGAGUUAGUUAAAAGGCAUUUUUUGACUAUUCUAUUUAAACAAGAAGAUCCUUGAGACAUUUUAUGGCGCGACUGUACAAAAUCUGCUAACAUACGGAAUAAGUUGUUGGCAAGGCAACACCUCAUUCAAACUGUUGCAACGUCUAGAAAACUUCAUUAAAAAAGCAUAAAAAAUUACACUCACAACAUUACCACAUUUAAAGGAACUUUUUGAACAAAUGUGCCUAAGAAAAAUCGAAAAAAUCUUGGAAGACAACGGCCACCCGCUCCAUCAGAACUAAGCCAGGUCGUCGCGAAGUGGGCGACUGCUGUCAAUCAAAACAAGAACGGAGCGGUACAAAAACUCGUUCGUACCUCACUCGGUCAGACUCUAUCACCGCCACUCAUUGAUCAGGGAACAUGAAAUGCACCAAGAUACCUGUGUGUAGUCGCUGAAUGAACUCUUUAUGUUGUCUGUUGUAUUUAUGUGUAUUUUUCUGUUGUGUUGUCUUUUUAUGAGAAACUAGUCCUUGUAAUCACAACAAAUUUCCGUAAGGAUCAAUAAAGCAGUCUUAGUCUUAACUGUUGUAACUUGUUAUAUCAAAAAGGAUUAUAGGCCUAUAAGAUUCAUCAUUAAAUUGAAAAAUAUAAAAAUAAUAAGAGUUUCAUAGACUUUCUAAGCAUUCUAUUCAUUUGUUACUCUUUAUUAUCAUAAUUCUAUGAAUUGUAAAAACGCUCAGAUCUCAUUUAUUAUUGAAUAUAAUUUAUUCUUAUGUUACAAUGUUAAGACCUUUUCAUAACCUUUACCUUGAAUAAUAAUAAAAUAUUUGUACAAGUU